GUGUUCACUUCGGCAGCACUUAUACUAAAAUUGGAAUGAUACAGAAAAGAUUGACAUGGCCCCUGCACACAGAUGAAAAUGUGUUCCAAUGGUGACAACAGCUUAUC